UACGUAGGGUGCACGCGUUAAUCGGAAUUACUGGGCGUAAAGCGUGCGCAGGCGGUUUUGUAAGUCAGCUGUGAAAUCCCCGGGCUUAACCUGGGAACUGCGUUUGAAACUACAAGGCUAGAGUGUGGCAGAGGGGGGUGGAAUUCCACGUGUAGCAGUGAAAUGCGUAGAGAUGUGGAGGAACACCGAUGGCGAAGGCAGCCCCCUGGGUUAACACUGACGCUCAGGCACGAAAGCGUGGGGAGCAAACAGG
rnacentral:rRNA from 1 species